rnacentral:rRNA from 1 species
UACGUAGGUGGCAAGCGUUGUCCGGAUUUACUGGGCGUAAAGAGCGCGCAGGCGGUCGGAUAAGUCGAAUGUGAAAGCCCCCGGCUCAACUGGGGAGGGUCAUUCGAUACUGUUCGACUCGAAGGCAGGAGAGGGAAGUGGAAUUCCCGGUGUAGUGGUGAAAUGCGUAGAUAUCGAGAGGAACACCUGCGGCGAAGGCGGGUUGCUGGGCCGACACUGACGCUGAUGCGCGAAAGCCAGGGGAGCGAACGGG